AUUAUCACGUUACACCGGGUAAAAGUGAAAGUUAGUUAUUAGUAAAACGUGACAAAUAUUGAUAAAGAGACAUAAACAAAGAAGCAAUAAGGUUAUAAAAUACUAUUUUACUUUUUUGCUAAGCGUUUUGGCCUUACUCCUGUUGGUUUGGUGUUCUUGGAAACAACAGCGUCCGAACCAGAAACUGUUGUUGAAGCAGUUUGAGCAGACAAAAUUCUUUGGAGUUCAGUAGCAUUCGUUAUGCGAUGUUGCGUCCCGUCUGGACCAAUGCAGAUGAUAGUGCCAUCUUUAGUCCAGCAUUUAGAGAUGCCUAAACGCUCUCGAGCCAUUAGAAAGGCAUCAUGACGAGACUUAGUCAAAAAUUCGGAGAUUGUAAUACCCGUUCCCUUCAGUUUGCUCUUAGCAAACCAAACUUUAUUUUUUAAGGAUAUCUCACGAAAUUUCACUAGGAUUGGCCGAGGUUUUGUUGGAUCCUGACGUCCAAAUCUUUGACAACGACUUAUUGUAUCAUCUGAAAUAUCAGGUAUACCAUGGAUAAGUAGCAUUUUCUUCCUUGUUCUCAUUUCCAUCUGGUCGCAUUGCCCCGAAAUAGCCUCGAUUUGAGUUUGCAGACUUUCAAGCGCACACAAUACAAACGAGCGAAACGCAGUGAAUUGAGCAGCUAUGUGGGAGACGGGGCUUGAUGGUGGAGUUGAAGCAAUCUGAAGAUCCUUUUGAAACUCAGCCAUUCUGAUAUUAAACGUCUGGGCCAUCUCAGUUAUCGACUGCUUUAUUGACUCCAUGAUGUUUAAAGGAAGAUUUAUGAGGUCUAAAGAUUGAUAGAUCUUGUAAUUUAUUAUUAUAAGGAUUUUAGCUGGUGUACAGGGGAUCUCAAUAUAUCAUUAUAUUAACGAAAAAUAAACAAAAAUCACUAAUUUAAGUAAAUAAAUACAGAGCAAACAAAA